rnacentral:rRNA from 1 species
GAUGAACGCUAGCGGCAGGCCUAAUACAAGCAAGUCGAACGGAUGUCUUCGGACAUUAGUGGCGUACGGGUGCGUAACGCGUAAACAAUCUACCUCAUACUGGGGGAUAGCCCUGGGAAACCGGGAGUAAGCCCGCAUGGUACCACCGGAUUUCAUGGUUUGGUGGUUAAAGAUUUAUUGGUAUGAGAUGAGUUUGCGUC